rnacentral:rRNA from 1 species
GAUGAACGCUGGCGGCGUGCCUAAUACAUGCAAGUCGAGCGAACGGACGAGAAGCUUGCUUCUCUGAUGUUAGCGGCGGACGGGUGAGUAACACGUGGAUAACCUACCUAUAAGACUGGGAUAACUUCGGGAAACCGGAGCUAAUACCGGAUAAUAUUUUGAACCGCAUGGUUCAAAAGUGAAAGACGGUCUUGCUGUCACUUAUAGAUGGAUCCGCGCUGCAUUAGCUAGUUGGUAAGGUAACGGCUUACCAAGGCAACGAUGCAUAGCCGACCUGAGAGGGUGAUCGGCCACACUGGAACUGAGACACGGUCCAGACUCCUACGGGAGGCAGCAGUAGGGAAUCUUCCGCAAUGGGCGAAAGCCUGACGGAGCAACGCCGCGUGAGUGAUGAAGGUCUUCGGAUCGUAAAACUCUGUUAUUAGGGAAGAACAUAUGUGUAAGUAACUGUGCACAUCUUGACGGUACCUAAUCAGAAAGCCACGGCUAACUACGUGCCAGCAGCCGCGGUAAUACGUAGGUGGCAAGCGUUAUCCGGAAUUAUUGGGCGUAAAGCGCGCGUAGGCGGUUUUUUAAGUCUGAUGUGAAAGCCCACGGCUCAACCGUGGAGGGUCAUUGGAAACUGGAAAACUUGAGUGCAGAAGAGGAAAGUGGAAUUCCAUGUGUAGCGGUGAAAUGCGCAGAGAUAUGGAGGAACACCAGUGGCGAAGGCGACUUUCUGGUCUGUAACUGACGCUGAUGUGCGAAAGCGUGGGGAUCAAACAGGAUUAGAUACCCUGGUAGUCCACGCUGUAAACGAUGAGUGCUAAGUGUUAGGGGGUUUCCGCCCCUUAGUGCUGCAGCUAACGCAUUAAGCACUCCGCCUGGGGAGUACGACCGCAAGGUUGAAACUCAAAGGAAUUGACGGGGACCCGCACAAGCGGUGGAGCAUGUGGUUUAAUUCGAAGCAACGCGAAGAACCUUACCAAAUCUUGACAUCCUUUGACAACUCUAGAGAUAGAGCCUUCCCCUUCGGGGGACAAAGUGACAGGUGGUGCAUGGUUGUCGUCAGCUCGUGUCGUGAGAUGUUGGGUUAAGUCCCGCAACGAGCGCAACCCUUAAGCUUAGUUGCCAUCAUUAAGUUGGGCACCCUAAGUUGACUGCCGGUGACAAACCGGAGGAAGGUGGGGAUGACGCCAAAUCAUCAUGCCCCUUAUGAUUUGGGCUACACACGUGCUACAAUGGACAAUACAAAGGGCAGCGAAACCGCGAGGUCAAGCAAAUCCCAUAAAGUUGUUCUCAGUUCGGAUUGUAGUCUGCAACUCGACUACAUGAAGCUGGAAUCGCUAGUAAUCGUAGAUCAGCAUGCUACGGUGAAUACGUUCCCGGGUCU